CAGUAGCCACGGUAAUACGGAGGGUGCAAGCGUUAAUCGGAAUUACUGGGCGUAAAGCGCACGCAGGCGGUCUGACAAGUCAGAUGUGAAAUCCCCGGGCUUAACCUGGGAACUGCAUUUGUGACUGUAUAGCUAGAGUACGGCAGAGGGGGAUGGAAUUCCGCGUGUAGCAGUGAAAUGCGUAGAUAUGCGGAGGAACACCGAUGGCGAAGGCAAUCCCCUGGGCCUGUACUGACGCUCAUGCACGAAAGCGUGGGGAGCAAACAGGAUUAGAUACCCCGGUAGUCCCUGUCUCUUAUAC
rnacentral:rRNA from 1 species